rnacentral:rRNA from 1 species
CACGUAGGGGGCAAGCGUUGUCCGGAUUUAUUGGGCGUAAAGAGCUCGUAGGCGGCUUAGUAAGUCGGGUGUGAAACCUCCAGGCUCAACCUGGAGACGCCACCCGAUACUGCUGUGGCUAGAGUCCGGUAGGGGAGCGUGGAAUUCCCGGUGUAGUGGUGAAAUGCGUAGAUAUCGGGAGGAACACCAGUGGCGAAGGCGACUACCUGGCCUGUUCUUGACGCUGAGGCGCGAAAGCUAGGGGAGCAAACGGG